GAAAACAAUGUGGUGAUAUGGCCAUAAAAAACAAUGUACUACAGUCCAGUCUCUAGAACGUACAAUACUCCACCUCUUCCUCCUCCUCUCGGUUCAUCUCCAUCAUAUUCCACAAAUGACAUCCAGAAAUGAUCGAGUAGCAAAGACAUACAUAACUAAGCAUAUUUCAUUACAUCCACAAAUGACACUUGUUCAAAUGACUUAAAAAUCUAGCGAUUCGAAUGACAUGAGUUCAAUCUAGAAGCUCAAGCUCGAGCAUACAUUUUCUACAAUGGAAAAAAAGAAUGAAAACGUAUAAGAUGUUCAAUUUGUGAGUCACGGUCAGGAUUAGGCUUCAGUUGAAAAUCCGAGGAUCCCGCCCAAUUCUCCAACACACCUUUCGUUUCGCCGAACCAGCCCAUUGAGCAUGGCGUUCCAGAAUCUCUAACAUGCCUUGUGUGAUUGCCCAUCCAAUGACUUGUCCGGGUUUUCUUAAGUCCAGCUCGCGGAAUUCUUCUUUGCUCACAAAGAACCCAAUCUCCGUUGCCAAAGCUUGUCUGCAAGCAUAUUCCAUCUCAUGCAACUCAUUAAGUAUCUUCUUUUUUUCUUUCACAAUCCUCUGGAAAACUUUUUUCUCCUUAAGAUCAGAAGGUUCCUCCAUAAAAGGAUACUUGUUGAAAUCCAUCAUGGCAGCAUUUACCUCAUCAUUGCUCUUGAACCAUGCUUCAAGCUCCCUCUUGAUACCAAGUUGUCGCUCCGCUACAACCUUCUCACAACCUACCGCCAGACUCAUAGAUGCAAUCUCACAACACUUCUCAUAUGCUAUAUUCAUCUCCGGGGUCCUGUUUUCCAUGCUACAUGAAAUGGAAUAAAACAUAACUUAACUCAAAUGAUACAAAACAAACACAAAGGAUAACUUAUUUAGAAUUACCUAAUACACAAAGUUCUCACUAGUUCAAAUGACAUAGGUUACAUAAAUGAUAAGGGUACAUGUCGUUACAGUCCAAAUGACAGUACAACAUCAUGUGUUUCAACCCCCUCUAUUCGUCCUUCAACAAGACAUCUUUGUCGUACGGCCCUGGGUUGCAACAAAUGACAUCAUUUCUUUCACGGGCCCAAGCCCAACGAGAUGCCCGACUAGGUAUCGUCGAUGAUGGUUGCCUAACUAGCCAGUCAAUGAUCUGGCCAGGGUUGUUAAAGUCCAUUGAGGGAGUCCUGGAUUAAGGGGUCCUCGGACAGCCGGACUAUAUGCGUAUGCCGAACUGUUGGACUAUAAAGAUACAAGAUAGAAGACUUUGUCUCGUGUCCGGAUGGGACUCUCCUUUGCAUGGAAGGCAAGCUUGGCAGUUAGGAUGUGAAGAUUCCUUUCUUUGUAACCGACCCUGUGUAACCCUAGCCCCCUCCGGUGUCAAUAUAAACCGGAGGGUUUAGUAUGUAGGACAACAAUCAUAACCAUAGGCUAGCUUCUAGGGUUUAGCCUCUACGAUCUCGUGGUAGAUCAACUCUUGUAAUACUCAUAUCAUCAAGAUCAAUCAAGCAGGAAGUAGGGUAUUACCUCCAUCGAGAGGGCCCGAACCUGGGUAAACAUUGUGUCCCCCGCCUCCUGUUACCAUUAGCCUUAGACACACAGUUCGGGACCCCCUACCCGAGAUCCGCCGGUUUUGACACCGACAUUAGUGCUUUCAUUGAGAGUUCCACUAUGACAUCGAAGAUAGGGUUGAUGGAUCGCCCUGUUAUCAAGGACAACAUCACCUCCGAGGGAGCUCUGGCCUUGGUCCAAACCCUCCGGCUGGGUGGCUUCUUCUUGACCGCUCGUUCGGCUGUCGGGUCGACCAUGACUUCUCAAGUCAUCGAAAAUCGCCUCCGCGUCAGCUCAGAAUACGUUGAGCAGAUGGAUCCAACGGAGUUAUCGUCUUUAAACAAGCUCCUGGAUCGCAUCGCCGCUCUGGGGGUCGCUUCGGACUAUGAUCGGAUUGGGCUUAAAACCGAUCAGAGAGGAAUUGAAUCUUCGCUGAUCACCCAUCAGAUAGCAGUGGUGGAGGAGCGAUCCAACAACUCUUCCCCCGUAUUGAAGACAAAAUAUGUCCGGAUUUCGAGCUCACCAAGCCGGAUACAUGCUCGUGAGAAGACACGCCCUGAAUUCCGAACUUAGAAUCAGACUGUGGGCCAGAAAAAUUGGUUUACAUCUCGGAAACCGAAUUAUUAAGUUCGGAAACUCCUCAAGCUCUAGGUCACGAAUCAGAUCUGGGUUCGGACUUAAAUCCACCCACCCGCCCAGACUCAAGCGACCUUUCCCGCAUCAGACAACAGUCAAGAGAUUGUACAUCGCUUUUGGGCCAGAUUCCUCAUUGUCAAGGACAAGGUCAAAGUCUGUUGCGAUGAAGACGCAAUCUCACUAUUCCGCAAAAAUUGCACGAACAAGGGAUUACUUAACGCCAUAAAUCGCCGUCACAUAUCACAUUUUGAUGACUUGGCGACCAUAGUACAGAAGUACUACGCGAUGGAAAGUGCAUGGAAAACCCAGGCAACCUUUUGGGAUAUGUUGGCUCUCGCUAAACCCCUCGUCCGAACAAAAAGGGUGCACCCUCAUAGGUCGCCUGACCCAAUCUCAAAGAAAUCAAAGCCCACUGCAGGGCGCACAACUAUUUUGGAAGGGUGGCUCGAUAGGCCAUGCAAAAUACACACCACAUCGAAUACCGUACCAACACACAACCUUAGAGCAUGUUGGAUACUUCGGCAGGUGGCCAAGAGCGGCGAGGAUCUCCUCAUAAAAAACACCGCAGGGCAACAUCCCACAUAACAUAACACUACAGUAUUGACAGUCUUCGAGACUUUCGCCUCAGGCAACAGGCGCAAGAGAGCACUCCGUGGCCUCGCUGAAAUCUGCCAAGUCACAGAAAUAAACCCCUGGAACGACAUGGCCAUAACUCUCAGCGCCAGCGACAAACCGCAAUUCAGAACAGUCCGGGCACCAGCCGCUUUGGUCCUCAGUCCAAUCAUGGACGGCUUCCGGCUUACCAAAGUGCUCAUGGACGGCGGUAGCGGAUUAAACCUCAUUUACGAGGAAACUCUCAACAAAAUGGAACUAGACAGGAGCCGCAUUGAGCAAAGCAGCACAACCUUCUGAGGAAUUAUUCCUAGCCGGGAGGCAAGAUGCGCUGGAAAGAUCACACUUGAUGUGGUAUUCGGCAUGCCGGAAAUUAUCGGUCUGAAGAAAUAACCUUUCAGGUGCCCCCCUUCACCAGUGGAUAUCACGCCUUGUUAGGGCGGGAUGCGUUUGCAAGCUGCCAAGCCAUACCCCAUUACGGGUACAUGAAGCUCAAGAUGUCGGGGCCCAAUGGAAUUAUCACCCUUGCCAGUGAUCCGGACACGGCACUCCGUGUCGAAAAUAAAACAGCGGCCUUGGCCCUUGAAGCAUUGUCUGAAGCCCUCACGGCCGAAGAAUUAACUGCAUUAUGCUCCAUAGUGGAUAGGGACGACGUGAUACUCGAUAAGCAAUCCAAGUCCACCUCCUUCAAACCAGCGGACGAAAUAGUCAAAUUCCAAGUCCGUCCAACGGACUCCUCGAAGACAGCAUCCAUCGGGGCACAGCUGGACCCCACAAUCGACGCCGCACUACGGACGUUUCUACACGAGAAUUGGGAUAUUUUCGCCUGGCACCCUUCUAAUAUACCAAGGAUCCCACGCAGGCUGGCCGAACACAGCCUCAACAUACUGAAGGGAUACAAACCGGUCAAGCAAAGACUAUGGUGCUUUUCAGAACCCAAACGACAAGCCAUGGGAGAGGAACUAGCCAAGUUACUCGAGGCUGGAUUCAUCAGAGAAAUAAAACACCCGGAUUGGCUAGCAAACUUGGUGAUGGUACCAAAGAAGGAUAAAUCCUGGCGCCUACGUGUCGAUUUCAAAGACCUCAACAAGGCCAAGGGUCCCUUCCCUCUCCCACACAUCGAUCAGAUUAUCGAUGCUACCGCGGGACACGACUCACUGUUUCAUCGACGCAUACUCCGGAUACCAUCAAAUCAAGAUGGUGGAGUCCGAUCAAGCCGCAACGGCAUUUAUAACCUCAUACGGGCCUUUCUGCUUCGACACUAUGCCUUUCGGGAUAAAAAACGCUAACGCCACCUACCAACGCAUGAUUCAAACAUGCCUGGAGAGACAAAUCGGCAAAAUAGUUGAAGCAUACGUCGAUGACGUAGUCAUCAAGACCAGAUAUGCCGAGUCUUUAAUAGACGAUCUAAGGCUCACAUUCGAUAACCUCCGAACAUAUGACAUUAAGCUCAACCCAGAAAAAUGCGUUUUCGGCGUUCCCGCCGGAAAGCUGCUGGGAUUCAUCGUUUCCAAUAGAGGAAUUGAAGCAAACCCAGCCAAAAUACGAGCUUUGUCAUAGUUGGCUACCCCAACAGAUCUCAAACAAAUCCAGAAACUAACUGGAUGCAUGGCAGCUUUAAGCCGCUUUAUCUCCAGAUUGGGAGAAAAGGCAUUGCCACUUUAUCACCUCCUUCGACGAAACGAACACUUCAAGUGGACGAACACAGCAAUGGUCGGACUGGAGGAAAUAAAGGCUCUUUUAGCAAGCAACCCAAUCCUGGUCGUGCCGAACGUUGGCGAACCUAUGUUGUUAUACAUAGCCGCAACGCACCAAGUUAUGAGUGCGGUGCUCAUCGUCAAACGAGAGGAGGACGAACACAAAUUUAUGGUUUAGAAGCCGGUACACUACGUAUCCACUGUCCUCACACCAUGCAAAUCCUGGUACCCACAUUAUCAAAAAAAGCAUACGCGGUCUUCAUGGCAUCCCGGAAAUUAUGACACUACUUUCAAGAGUGUUCAAUCACGGUGGCCUUCGAAGUACCACUUAAUGACAUAACAAACAACCGCGAUGCCACGGGCUGGAUUGCCAAGUGGGCCAUAGAGCUCCUCCCAUUCGACAUAACAUAUAAACCACGGCGAGCCAUUAAAUCCCAAGUACUGGCGGACUUCGUCGUUGAAUGGAAGAGUACGGCACAUACUCCAACUGGAUCAUGCACUUCGACGGCUCUAAAAUGCUGGCAAGUCUGGGAGCAGGCGUCAUCCUCACAUCCCCCACUGGAGAUACAGUCCAAUAUGUGAUCCAAAUAUUAUACACAAACUCCAACAAUGCAGCCGAAUACUAGGCUCUAUUCCAUGGUCUUCGGAUGGCCGUCUCCAUGGGCAUUCAGCGCCUAGAAGUGCGUGGGGAUUCAAACCUCGCAAUAUCUCAAACAAAUGGAGACUUUGAUACCAAAGAUCCAAAAAUGGCGGCAUAUCGUAAUGUCGUACUUAAGAUGUCAGCUCGGUUCGAGGGGCUCGAAUUUCAUCAUGUGGUUCGAGAAAACAAUCAAGCGACAGAUGUCCUCGCCCGUAUUGGCGCUAAACGCGACCUGUCCCACCUAAUAUCUUUCUGGAAAGGCUUUUCAAGCCAUCCGUAGUGUGGCAAGGAGAGACCGGCAACAUCAGUCCGGAUCCGACCACAACCCCAGAACCCGAACACACUGAAAUAAUCGGGGGGCUCUGCCACCGAAAUAACACCCUCGGCCCAUCUCAUCAUGGCUGUUAUCGCCCCAUGGACCGAACCCUUCUUGGCCUACCUUAAUAGGCACGAACUUCACGAGGAUCAAAAUGAGGCACGCUGCAUUGUGCGGCGCUCCAAAGCCUACAAAGUCCAUGAGGGAGAGCUUUAUAAAAAAAGCGCUACCGGGGUACUUCAAAGAUGUAUCUCCGAGGAGGAAGGGCGGCAGCUCUUGGCUGAAAUCCAUGCCGGCCUCGGCGGUCACCACACGGCAGCUCGGGCCCUUGUAAGCAAGUCCUUCCGUACAGGUUGUUACUGGCCGACGGCCUGAGAAGACGCACAAGACCUUGUCCAACAUUGCGUCGGAUGCCAGCUUUUCGCCAACCAAAGCCAUAUGCCACCCACCGCCCUACAAACAAUCCCCAUAACCUGGCCUUUCGUGGUCUGGGCGCUUGAUAUGGUUGGACCCCUUAAAGGACGAAGCCAUAAGAAAAGAUACUUGUUGUUCAUGGUGGACAAAUUCACCACAUGGAUAGAAGCCAAACCAGUCAAAACGGCCGAAUCCGGACCGGUGAUAGACUUCAUAUCGGGUGUAGUACACCGUUAUGGUGUCCCCCACAGCAUCAACACCGACAACGGCUCCAAUUUCACAGCCGAUGAGGUGAAAACUUGGUGCCGCAAGAUGGGCAUUAAGCUCGAUUACGCCUGCAUCUAUCACCCUCAAACAAACGGUCAAGUCGAUCGAGCGAAUGGUCUUAUUAUGAGCGGCAUUAAACCUAGACUAGUGCGAUCCUUAAAAGAAUCAGACAUGCACUGGGUUAGGGAGCUUGACUCCGUACUCUGGGGGCUGCGGACCACGCCAAAUCGCACUACCGGAUACAUACCCUUCCUCAUGGUGUACAGCGCACAGGCUGUGCUGCCCUGCGAUAUUAUUCAUGACUCACCUAGAGUGCGCAUGUACAAAGAGAGAGAGGCCGAGCUCGAUCGGCAGGAUAGUUUAGAUGCCCUGGAAGAGGAGCGCGACGUCGCAAAAGCCCGUUCCGCAUUCUAUCAACAACAGGCUCGCAGGUAUCAAAGCAGAGAAGUACGGGCCAAGACUUAUAAUAUUGGCGAACUCGUUCUACGUCUACCGGAGAAGAAAAAGGACAAGCUCAAACCCAAGUGGGAGGGUCCCUUCAUUAUUGACAAAUUUCUCACCGGAGGAGCGUACCGACUGCGGGAUGCAUCCGAUAAUCGCCUCGAGCCGAACCCAUGGAACGCAGCCAGACUCCAAAGAUUCUACUCCUAGUGCCGAACUCCCCGUUCAUCUCCUUCCCUCUGUUGCUUUUGAUUUUAUUUUUAACCCUCCUCCCGCCUUUCCUUUUUGAAAAGCUCUAGCGCUUUAUUGUGGCUAGACUACACACUUGUAACGCACUAAUUUUCAAGUCUGUGCGCUCAUUAUACCUGGGGGCUUCUUAUACAGAAGCUUAAUAUAAUUAUCUUCAGGGCAUUAAGCCCAUUGCAUAUGCGUCCUUUCUCCAUAUGCACCUUUUCUUCGCCACUAUAUGCAUCGAUAUGACUUAAGUUUUGGCCAAGCUGGGUUGCCUGGCUCCUGUGCUUAUGCCCUACAUUCCCGUUAGUUCGGCUAGGGCAUAAAGGGAGCACCUCUGCGAUUGGUACUGCCGGGUACUUCGGACAUGUACCUUAGACUGGGUGAAGCCGAAAGCUAGCAUUCUUAAGGGAAUAUUCGGUUGGUGGACUAAAGAUGUUUUUUACCUAUCAUAAUACAAAACCCCAAAUGUUACAUAUCCUGCGCUUUUUAAUCGCGGUUCGGACAUGCACUUUAAUGCAUGUGUACCCAGGGAAAGGAACCCUUAAUGGAACUAUUCUCUCUGGAAGAUGUUUCUUCCUAACCAUGUAAUAUAACAUAGCUAGUUGGGUACUUGUAUGUUCAAGCAAUUAUGACCCCUACGCCUGGUUUCCAUGCAUACCCCGGUUUAUAUUACCGAGCGGGUAUUCGGAAACACUCCGAACUGUCGGGUCCAAAGGCCGAAGUGAAAAGGUCCGCCAUGACAAAUGUUUUACAAUCCGGCUAGGGACAAAUAUGUCAAUUGAAGUACAUAGUCAUUUAGACUCAAAUGCUUCUUCUUCUAUGCCAUCCAACAGGUUGUCUAGCCUACAAUCCUGUUGGGAAUAUUUUGCAGCUAAUCCUACCUGGUCAUAUACCAGACUAAUGGGACUUUCUUUCCCAUCUGACCCUACAGGACCGACUCGAGCCAUAUGAUUCGGGUCAAGCUUGGUAUACCGUGUCUUCACCAUGGCCCAAGCCUCUCUCGCCCCUUCUCAACAGGAAGAUACCUUCCAUAGUCGGGAAUGCCGCCGCGCUCCCUUGAAAGGAUGAGCAAGCUCCCCCAUACUUCCUGGUAGGGAGGCGGAUGGCCACAAGGCCUUGGCGACACUCCGCAUGACCUGCCGAACUUGCUCGUGUAGUUGCGAAAGCUCUUUUAGCAGAUCACCUGAGGAUCCGAGCAUCUCCUCUUCGGGGCGGCCCGUCAGCAUACCUGCAGACAUAAACUCUGUUAGUUCCUAUCUUUACCGAACUAUGUAAAUGUUCGUUUGAGAACAUACUAAAAAUGUCGCGCUGAAGCCUUUUAUUUUCCUUCACGGAGUCAGCCAGCUGGGCCCAAACAUCUUUCAAUUCUUCACCCAGCUGGUUAUUAGCAUCUUGGAGCUUGUUAUUCUUCUGUAUGACCCGUGUAAGUACACGCUCACCAGCGGCUGGUUGCCUUUGUGCCUCUUGCUCACUCUCUUGAGGGGUUCCCGGAUUAUGUUCCGGAUUAUCUGAGGAUUUUGGUCAUCAGAUAUUGUUAGCGUUACUAGUUUAUAAACACAAUAUUGUUUUUUCUCAAUUCUGGAAUACAUACCAAUCGAUGCCUCUUCGGAUCUUGAUAGCUUGGCCAUAGCGACCAUUAGCUGGGUUCGACACUCGUCCAGCUCUUGAGACAACAGGUUGUUCUUCUCCGAGAGAACCUACAUGUACAAUGAUCCUUAAAUCAGUUGUACCAACUGUUUUAAGUCUCAGGGGCUACUGAUAUACAUAAUUAUCAGAUUUUUAUAUUUACCCGUAUAUCUUUCAAAUACUAGUCCAUGGCUCUAGCAAGCCCAUCCUGAGUGGCUCGGAUGUACGCAUCACCCGAGCUGAAGGCAUUAAAAGCCUCAUCUGAAAAACCAGAGUCGCGGAGUGCGGCCCGCCGGCGUCGAUGAUUCAUGGCGCUCUCCACUUCAAAAUUUGUAACAGACAUUUUGUCUGAAUCCUCUGUAUGAGGACAGUCCAGUGUCACUCCCGUGUUGGCCUCUGUCCUCGAGACCUGGCUUGGAAUCCGGCUAGUGGAGGCACGGUUGGCAGGAUCCCCGGACAUAGUUCUGCGGAUGUUCUUUCUGCUAAUACACAAUGGAUAGUGUCAAACUUUAAGAUGACGAACCACGGAGCGUAUUUAAAACCAUACCUCCUUGAGGACGGCUCCGAUGUAUUUUUGUUCGCCUUCCUUUUUAAAGGCCUACCCGGCACAGGUGCCCCUUGCUGGCGAGUCGCCUCGGGUUCGGCUUGGCGCGCCGAUCGUCUUCCCUUUAGAGCAUAAGAAUUGCACGGUGGGUAAGACGGAAGGAAUAAAUCUUUUCCGGAAGAUAAGUCUCUUGUUUACUUACAUGCGAUACAGGGAGGAGGCGGGGAUAGUCAGCAAUGAUGGCCACCUCUGUGCCAUCACAGCUCGCGUGAUGAAACACCCCUUCCACGAGCUCCACGAAUAUAUCUGAAUCCUCUUCGAAUUCGGGGUCAAGGGCCCGGUUGCAGUCCUCUGGCUGUGGUGCUGGGCUGUGGAACUCCCUAGUUACCUUCCGCCAUUCCUGUUAUAAAUAGACGGAAAUAAAUAUUUAUAAAAACAAAGGCUCAGGGAAUGAAUAGAGUAGAGUGAUGGAUGGCAGCUCACCCAGCUGAGAGGGUUGUACAUGGAAAAGCCAUCCUGUGGUUUAAUGCGGACGAACUCCUCUCUUUCCCCCUUGUAUAAAUCGGACAGUAUUUCCACCAGAGCGGUGGUAGAGUCCGGACCCUUUCGACCGCAGCGGGUGGCGUCGUCUUCUCCAUUGAAGUGACACAUGGGAUGCCCUCGGUAUUGGAGUGGCUGAACCCGCCGCAUUAUGGAUAUCGCCAUAACCUCGACUAUUGACAAUCCGGACUGAGUGAGUAUUCUUAUCUUGCUCAUCAAUUGAAGGACCUCCCUGCUAUCUUCCUCUCUGGGGCUCCGGGGACGCCAGUUAAGGCGUUUUUUCAGCAGAGCAUUUGUAAACUCAGGAAGACUCAUUCGGAUUGGGUCGGGAAGGGAGACGUUCUCAAUAUAAAACCACUCGGAGGGCCAUUCUUCGGGUGCUUUCUUCGGUGUGCCAGAUACGUAUCCGGUCCCGGCGAUGCGCCAUAUCUCGGCUCCACCCACUUGGAAUAUCGAUCCCCCUUGAUUACGGGGGACGAGGCAGAAUAGCUUCUUCCAUAGCUCAAAAUGGGCUUCGCAGUCCAAAAAUACUCACAAAGAGCGACGUAGCCUGUGAUAUGCAUGAUGGAGGCAGGUGUGAAGUUGUGGAGCUGGAGGCCGUAGAACUCUAGAAGCCCGCGGAGGAACGGAUGGAUUGGAAAUCUGAUGCCCCUUAGUAAGUAGGAAACGAGGUAUACUCGUCCCCCCCUGGAUGGGUUGGGGAACCUCUCUGCUUGCUCCCGCCCGUCAAAGGAAGCCAAUCCGGCUCGAACGGGGACUAGUUACGCGGGGGGUAGGUACCCUUGGGUCUGCAACUUCACUAAUCGGCCAUGGGAUACGGAAUACUUCUCCCAAUUUCCCGAUUUGGUGUUGCGGGAGCGAGAGGAAGAGCUGCGAGCACCGGCCAUGUUGGAGUGGUUUUUUCGGGCACGCUCUGAUGAUUCCUCGCUUGGGGAAGAUGGUGUGGAUUGGAUCUGAAGAUCCCCGUCUCUUUAAUAGACGGUUUAUUUACAUGGGUAGGGUGGCAAAUGUAAAAAUGCCCUGACUUCUCGCAUUCGCUCAACACGUGGAGGCUGGGACUGUUAAGGUGCAGAAGCCGAUGAGCAUAACAUUAAAUGGGGAACCGGGCACUGCAAUUUGCAACAGGUACUUUGAAGAAUUCGGAGAAGGAACCUGCCUUGCAAUGCCAAAGACAAUCUGCGUGCAGGACUCAGCGUCAUUGAAGCCUGGUUCGGGGGCUACUGAGGGAGUCCUGGAUUAAGGGGUCCUCGGACAACCAGACUAUAUGCGUAUGCCGGACUGUUGGACUAUGAAGAUACAAGAUAGAAGACUUCGUCUCGUGUCUGGAUGGGACUCUCCUUUGCGUUCAAGGCAAGCUUGGUAGUUAGGAUAUGAAGAUUCCUUUCUCUGUAACCGACCCUGUGUAACCCUAGCCCCCACCGCUGUCUAUAUAAACCGGAGGGUUUAGUCCAUAGGACAACAAUCAUAACCAAAGGCUAGCUUCUAGGGUUUAGCCUCUACGAUCUCGUGGUAGAUCAACUCUUGUAAUACUCAUAUCAUCAAGAUCAAUCAAGCAGGAAGUAGGGUAUUACCUCCAUCGAGAGGGCUCGAACCUGGGUAAACAUUGUGUCCCCCGCCUCCUGUUACCAUUAGCCUUAGACGCACAGUUCGGGACCCCCUACCCGAGAUCCGCCGGUUUUGACACUGACAUCCAUCUCAUUCACUCCAUCCCUUGUUCCACACAAUGCAAUUUGCCUUGCAAGAGCGCGUCUAUGAAUUUUCUCUUUCUUCUUCAGAUUGCUUAUGUUUUUCUCUUUAGCUUGGUAUAACUUAACUUUCUCAUCGUCGCACUUGGACACAUAAUACUUUGAAAAUUCUGUACAAGCCGCAUUCAACGCAUCGUCGGCUUUGACCCACAAGUCCAUCUUUUCCUCAAUGACUGCAGGUUCACGCUUCGCCGCCGCCUCCGCAGAAGUCUCAACAAAGAUGAUCGAUCCCAUCCUACAGGUCGAGGGAUUACAAUAACGGUCAUCCAAGGAAAAAAUCCUAACCGUCUCUUGACAAAACUAUAACCCUAGGACUAGAUCGAGCUACAAUUCGAGAGGUAACUACUAUAACGUUCGUCAUAUAGGCAUUUACUUAAGCAUAACCCUAACCAUAACCUUAAAUCUAACCAUAACAUUAAACCUAACUCUGACAAAACCCUAAAUGAUAGUUCUUACUACCCAAACAAUGCUAGUCACACAAUACAUUGUCAAAGCACAAACAUUACCCUAAAUGCAUCAUAUACAUUGAUUUCACCACAACAAAACCAUGAACUAGGGUUUGCAACAAAAUGGGCAAAAUACAAGAUUCCAACCAACAAAAUCAAGGGGGGGUGAAGGGAGGUACCUUGGGUGAUGCAAAUGCCCCGAAUCCACCGGACAAAUCUCAAGCAAUGGAGGGGGAUCUAGUGGGUGAUUUGGUGGGGGAGAAGACGGGAGAGAGCUUGAGCUCGAAAGAGGAAUGGGGUGAAUGAGUGGGUGGGGGAGCAAAGCCUCCACCCCUCAAAACCUUAUCCAGGACCCUACCGCCAUGUAGCCCGGCGGUAGGUUGAAAGAGUCUACCGCCAGCGUCUGCGGCAGUAGGGCCCUUUGCCACGUCAGCCCCGUUAACUGACAGACGGGCGUCAACGGAACCUACCGCCAGGCAGGGCGGCGGUAGCCUGUGUAAAGCUACCGGCAGGGCCUCCGGCGGUAGCAAAAAGGUCAAAUCUCGAAAUUAUUUCAGACCGGGGUCAGAUCCUGUUAAACUACGUGAAAAGGGUCAAAACACGAAAGUUUUGCCGCAGUGGGGCGGCACCUGGGCAGCCUCGCCGUUCAGACUCGUUCACCUGUUUUUUCAGUAAGUUGUACUACUAUAUGUAAAACUAGGAUAUCUUCAUAUCUUUUAUCCUUUCUCCUGUGAUAACUCAUGGCGACGGAGUGAUAGGCUGCUGUUAUGGCUAACCCAACCACUACAAAAAAAAGAUAAUAACCACUAGUAGUACUAAUUCGGUCACCAACAAGAAGAUGACGGGUAAUGAGUGCAAUGAAGGGAAAAGAGAGUAGCGAAUGUGUGAGCAGCGAGGGAGGCCAGGAGAAACCGCUCGUGAUAGGGAGGGCCCACCGACAGGCAGAGGCGCCAACGUACGGCAGCACGCUCGCUUUUGUCCAGUGGGUUGGUGUGCCUUCCUUUUGCAUUUACAACGAACCGAAGAUGGAAUGCAACACGAAUGGAUAGGAGCGUGUCCCUGUGCAUUCGAGUGCCAGUUACCAUAUGCCAACGCAAAGCAACGCCAGAUAUCCAUCCACUCCACACAGAGGUGGUGGUAGUGAUCCGCCCACUGCUACUCUACGCUGCCUGUUCCGGGGCUUCCUGUUUACCCUUUUGACCGGAGAUGAGGCAGGCAGGCGUGCACAGGGCGGACGAGACUGGGCAGUGGCUCUGGCCCCACGAUUCCCAGACGAUUCUUUUCUUCCCUCCGCCGGAGGUGUGGUGGGUCCGCCGUCGUCAUGUCACAUCGGCUGUGCGUUUCGCGCGGGCGCGGAGCCUACGCGGAUUCGCCGUCAAUUUCUGGCGGGAAAUAGCAUUUACUUUGGCGCCCUCGUUUCAACCCCCUACUCUUCUCUCCUGCUGCUAGUUUUCUCCGAACGCCGUUUUCCGAAACACUCACGAUCAGCUGUUGCUUGUACUACGUGCUGACGCACUCGGAGUAUAAAUCUUUCUGGUAUUUUGCUCUGAUCUCUUGUUCACAUCCAGGUGAACUGGGUCAAAUUUAAGCACCGCGGGGGCAUCCGUGGGCAUUUCUGGAACGCGCGAGCAAUCGCCACGAAAACGAUGGGUAUGGACAGGACGCAUCAUCAGUUCAGCAUGGCAACAACGCAACGGCGCUCCGGUAGGUGACAAAAGGGGAUCACGUCGUCGUCGGACCCGUCUGCUUCGAGGAGCGUGAAAUUUGCCUACAAAUACUACUAAAAAUAUCGCCUCGCGAAGCUUCCUGCCUGCCAGCUAAUGUCCAGCCCGGCGCGAUCCGUUCGACCUACUAGCCCACGACGUGGAUGUGUUCCCCUUUUUCCUUUGUGCUUCUUCUACCUUGACCGAAAAUGAAGUGAGAUGGUUUCUCAAGCAACCGUGAUCGAGCACGAAAGACGUGACCACGGAUACAAGUAUGGCCACCAGGCGUCCAAGCCCAACCUGCAUUUCUCGACCAAAAACUAGUAUAAACUAUCCAUUGCAAGUCUGGAAACACAGUAUAUGCACAUGUAGGAGUAGUACUUAAGAAUUACAGUCACGUUCACUACCUAGUUCCAUUUCGCAAUCUGACAUUUCAAGAAUUUUACAAGAAAAAAAACGAUGCCUUUCAUGAGUUUACAAGACAAAACGAACAUUAACAACAAAAUAAUAUUCCACAUUACAGGAUUUUUGACGAGAUAAUUAUACAUGACAGACUCCCACUGUUACAAUCUGCAGAGCAGCGGAAGGAACAGCAACUAGCUAGAACCAUGGACACAGACUUCACCGGCCGGAGUCACUGACCAGUGACCGACCACCGGAGACGCCGGGCACAAAAACGCCGGCUUAUAGUCAUCCGGGACGGACUAACCAAACCCUACCACAAGAGAACAAAUAAUAGAUCUACACAAUGAACAAGGAUUAGAGACUUAGAGCUAAUCCGCUAAAAGCCCGUGCAGAAUGUCUAAAAUGCCAUCUGCAUCGAGGCGACCAUUAACCUAGCAUCAUGACACGCUAAAGACGGUAGUAAUAGUAGCUGACGGACACAAACUGGGUGCUAAUUGGUGGCGAGAAGCGAAUCCCAGUCGAUCUCAUACGACGGGUACUUGGUGAGGGCGAAGCAGGCUGCCUCGUCCCAUGGCGCCUCGCUGAAGUCGAGCUGCUGCAUCUCUGGAACAUCUGCUGCGGUGGUGGCGGCGGGUGACGGUGACGACUCCGCAGACUCCAGCGAGGAUGACGCCUCGUCGGAGGAAGGCGAGGAGCAGUUGCUGGUGGGGGUGGACGACGUGGCUGCGGCGGUGGACGCGGAGACAGAGGCGGACUUCUUGGCGUUCUUGGAGGCGGUGAUGUUCUGGCAGAGGGUCUGGAGCUUGGCGUCAACGGAGGCAUGGAGCGGGCCGCGAGAGGCGGCGUUGUCGGGGAAGUUGAGGCGAGCUGCAUCGCCGCGGAGGCGGUAGGCGGCCUGGUCGUAGGCGAGGGCCGCCUCCUCGGCGGUGUCGAAGGUGCCGAGCCAGAGGCGGGUGCGGUUGCGGGGGAGACGGAUCUCCGCCACCCACUUGCCCCAGUGGCGCUGCCGCACGCCACGGUAGAGCUUCUGCGGCCGCGGCGGGGUCGCCGCUGCCACCGAAGCGGGCUUCAUGGGCUGGGACCGCGGUCCGAGCUGGCCCGGCUGGCCAGUCUGGCGCUGGAGGUGGAGGCGUGCCUGGAUGUAGUGCAUCUGGGCCGGGCUGAGCUCGGUCUGGGCCUGUGCCUGCACCCCGUACGGGUACCCACUGUAGGCGGCGUGGGGGAAGGAGAAUGGCGAGGUGGGACUAAGAUGGGAGUGGAGUGGAAGGGGGGCAGAGGCUUCUCGGAUAAAAGGCUCGAGUGCUCUCACCAGAUCCUCCCCGGACAGAUCUAUAGCUGCAGCCAUCUAAGGAACUAGGACGAACUUUUUUUUGGGGAUUUUUGUUUUCUUAGAAAGAUGAACAAGAAAGAAAUCUGCCUGGUUUCCAAACCAAAACCUAGAACAGGCAGAGAAAAUCAACAAGGUCAACAGCCACGGCAAAAAGAGAUGGCGUUGGUGGUAGAUCUAGACACAACGAGCAAGGAGGUGUGGAAAAAGAACCUCGCCUGGCCGAUUACUACAACUAAAAGAGAAGAAAAAAGAACAGAUCUGGAGCCCCGGGAUCUAAAACGUCCUGGAGACCUCGCUGCCUGCCGGGUGAACAAGGAGACGAAUAGGGGGGCGGGAGGAAGAGGGCUUGAGACUCGGAGAACCUUACCUUGGCGACGCAAGAACUCGCUCGGAUCUAUGCUUACCUCGCUCGAACUCACGUGAGUGUUUGUGGUUUGCUGGGAUUGGGGCUUUUUCGGCGGGUGGUGGCUGGUGGAAUGUGUGUGGACGAAGGUCGGAGUGGGCGAAAUGGAGGCGGGG
rnacentral:lncRNA from 1 species